rnacentral:rRNA from 1 species
UACGAAGGGGGCUAGCGUUGCUCGGAAUUACUGGGCGUAAAGGGCGCGUAGGCGGACAGUUAAGUCAGAGGUGAAAGCCCAGGGCUCAACCCUGGAAUAGCCUUUGAUACUGGCUGUCUUGAGUGCGAGAGAGGUGUGUGGAACUCCGAGUGUAGAGGUGAAAUUCGUAGAUAUUCGGAAGAACACCAGUGGCGAAGGCGACACACUGGCCCGUAACUGACGCUGAGGCGCGAAAGCGUGGGGAGCAAACAGG